rnacentral:pre_miRNA from 1 species
AGAAGGAGGCGCGAUCCUGGGCUGUGUCCCGGCGCCCUGUGCUCCCGGGCCUGCGCUGUUGGAUUUGCGCUCCCAGCCUCUCCGCGGAGCCACCG